GAUGAACGCUGGCGGCGUGCCUAAUACAUGCAAGUCGAGCGAACAGACGAGGAGCUUGCUCCUCUGACGUUAGCGGCGGACGGGUGAGUAACACGUGGAUAACCUACCUAUAAGACUGGGAUAACUUCGGGAAACCGGAGCUAAUACCGGAUAAUAUAUUGAACCGCAUGGUUCAAUAGUGAAAGACGGUUUUGCUGUCACUUAUAGAUGGAUCCGCGCCGCAUUAGCUAGUUGGUAAGGUAACGGCUUACCAAGGCAACGAUGCGUAGCCGACCUGAGAGGGUGAUCAGCCACACUGGAACUGAGACACGGUCCAGACUCCUACGGGAGGCAGCAGUAGGGAAUCUUCCGCAAUGGGCGAAAGCUUGACGGAGCAACGCCGCGUGAGUGAUGAAGGUCUUCGGAUCGUAAACCUCUGUUAUUAGGGAAGAACAAAUGUGUAAGUAACUAUGCACGUCUUGACGGUACCUAAUCAGAAAGCCACGGCUAACUACGUG
rnacentral:rRNA from 1 species